AAUGAAGCAGUGAGCUGUUCACCCUUGACAUUUAGGAGCCUUUUCCAACACAAAAAAACCCAUAGGGUCACCCUUUGAGCCAGCAUGGGCAUGUUAUUUGAGGCAUUUUGCCCAAAAUGCAAGCUUUGACCCUUGAGGUUGGAUUUACUGAACUGAGCCCACUAGCUCCGCCUCUGCCCAAACCGUGGGUUUGAAAGAUCCAUUUCUGUAAGAGAUCUCCAAAAGAUUUCUGUGAAUACUCCACAAGUGUUAUAAGUGAGGACAAAGACAAGAAAAACACUGGCAGGGUAAAAGGUAGUUAUACAGUGAAGACUGCAGAGAUUUUGGUGCCCUGCUGAGAUAACAUCAUGCAGUAAACCUCUUACCUGGCGGAGAGAAUGAUCACUCGGGCCUCCAGCUCUUUGGCCUCCAGGAGCAGGGC